GUGGCGAGCCAGCCCCAGCUAAGGGCUGGGGCCAGCUUCUCCAAGGUGCGCAUUCAGAUUUGAAGGUGCCUCUCCCCCCUUCCCCUUUCCUUCCUCUCAGACAGAGAUACCUGAGCCAGCAGGUCAACUCAGGUUACCUCAACAGCUUGGAAAUAAAGGAACCGCAAGCAGCCAUCCUCGCUGGGGCGUCUCUGCCCCUCGCCCCAAGGCCUGCUCCUCCCUCCUAGGUACCACGGAUUUAUGUUCGUUCGUCCGGGUCAUUCUGCCUUUUUGUGUUAAUUGCGCGCUGCCUGCCCGGUGCUUAUCUCCUUCGCAAAGCGAUUAUUCUCGACGCCAGCGCUCCAGAGCCUCUCGAGCCUGCUGCCAGAGCGAGGGCCCAUCUCCCGCCGCCACUCGCGAUUUAUUUACACCUCGCAGAGACACUGUGCAAAGGACCUGCCGCGAUCCCCCGCCAUUCAGGCGCAUUUCUGGGCUCGGAACACCUCCGCUCACGCAGAAGCACGCUCCGAGGCUCCCGCGACCUCCUGCCCGCGGCGCGCACCCUAAACUCCUCGUUCCUCUUACCCUGCCGCUGGAUCCGCACCACCUAUUCCGCCGCCUCCUGCAGGACUUUGGGGUGGGACGCUGACUUCUCCCGAUUGUUUGCCCCCUGGUUUGUAGCCCACCUCUCUCUCUCUCUCUCUCUCUCUCUCUCUCUCUCUCACGCGCGCCUCUCUCUCUCUCCACCUCUCCCUCCCAGCCAGUGAGGUCCUGUUCUCCGUGGGCCAUAGACAAAACAUUCCUAUAAUCCGAUUUCAAAGGAAAGAGUGUCCACCUUAUUUAAACCAUAAAACAAUUAAGCCCAGACGUCUAGCCAGCUCCGCGCUGCUGUUUUGUUCGGCCCCAUUCAGAAUCCAGCGCAGGGAGACAAACAGCGCCAUAAAAGUGGCAUUUCGGGGCUGCGGAAAUGUACCUAUCCGCUGCCUUCCCAAGUGGAACAACCUUUAGGGUUUUGUGAUUCUGACAAAGGAGCAGAGGAGAGGUGGGAGGGGAAGAUUAGGGCAGGAGGGCGUUUGCUAGCUCCUCUUCCCUCUCCCCCCACCCCAGCUUUCGCUUCUUUCCCUAGAUGUGUGUUGUGUUGUGGUUUUAAUUCACAAAUUGUAAUAAAUUUUUAAAAAAUGAAUCCAAUCCUGACCUGCAGGCUGGAGGCUGAGCUGGAACUGGACAGUGGGCUGGGCCGGGUGGGCCUGUUCUGGAUCCCACGCUCUCUCCAGGGCCCUCGGAGCCCGGAGCCCUGAGCCCUGCGGCCCUCCUUCCUGUCCCGAGUAAGGCCGGCUCCGGCGGGCUGCAGGAAGCAGGCCGCGCUGAUGGACGAGGGGAGGCGACAGGGCCUUGGAGCAGGGGCGGGGUGGAGGCCUGGAAACGCCGCGGAGCCUGGGCUGGGAGAAAAGCCCGAGUCCCCGCAGUCAGGACCGGCAGUCAGGAUCCAGGGACAUGGGUGUCCUGGCCUCCGACCGGGUGUGAAACCAACGCCAGUGUUCCAGAACAGCAAAAAGGCCAAAGGGGGGAGUGAGGAUUGAGAAAAGAGGAUAAACUACAGGCAAAACACCAUUCAAAAGGACCAAGAAAACAACUGCUUCUAGAAUUAGGGAGGAGGUCUCUUCAGUGGGAAAGAAGAGAAGGUGCUUCAGCCACUGGGAAAAACCAGUGUUUGCGACUUUUGAUUGUCCCCCUCAAAAUACCAUCCAAACGAAAUGUUUGUCCCUUCCCACCUUCCUCCAGCCCCCGAAAUUGGAGUGUUGAAUGGAAGGAGGGAGUAGGAGAUUCAAAUGAUGGGGAAGGGGCUGGUCCCUCCAAGUGCCUCACCAAUCCUGUAAGGCCAUGCGAUGGAGGACGCCGCAGAAGGACUGGGAUCCCCAAUGAUUUUCUUUUAUGGUGGUAUUCCCCAAGUACUCAGAACAACACCCUGCACCCUCGCCAGAAUGGGCAGCCUGAGAUAUUAAAGCACUAUAUUUCAAGCCGUCUGAGUUUAAUAGUUUCCAGAUUGGGGGAUUUCCGAGAAAGGGGGCGCCGGGCUGAGGCAUACCCAGCAGCUCGUGUCUGCUUCUGAUUACCAGAUGAAAACUGCCGGGGAAGGCGCUCUGGGGUGCAGUGCAACUGACCAGCCCCAAUGAGCUGUUGCACAUACUGGCCUCUACCCUUGUGCCUGGGGUCCCACCACCAUCAGGGAACACCCCACUCCAGGCUAAUCCCUGACCAGCUUCCUUAGGCCUUGACCAUGUCACCCCCAGAAACGCUGCAGCCACUCAGCAUAACUCUGUUACCCCCAAACCAACAUUCAAACUAACCACUAGACAGAGAGAGAGACUGAGAAGAAAAGAGAACUAGGAGAGGGAGAGCGAGAGGGAGAAGCUGAGAAUGCAUUGAGAAGUUGAAACUAAAUCUAAUUCUGAUUGUAUUGCUUUUGCCGUCUUUCUCCUUCCUCCUUCCCUCCCUUCCUUCCUUCCCUUUCUUU